AGCGAACGCUGGCGGCAGGCCUAAAACAUGCAAGUCGAACGGAUCCUUCGGGAUUAGUGGCGGACGGGUGAGUAACACGUGGGAACGUGCCUUUUGGUUCGGAACAACUCAGGGAAACUUGAGCUAAUACCGAAUGUGCCCCUUCGGGGGAAAGAUUUAUCGCCAUUAGAGCGGCCCGCGUCUGAUUAGCUUGUUGGUGAGGUAAAGGCUCACCAAGGCGACGAUCAGUAGCUGGUCUGAGAGGAUGAUCAGCCACACUGGGACUGAGACACGGCCCAGACUCCUACGGGAGGCAGCAGUUAGGAAUCUUGCGCAAUGGGGGAAACCCUGACGCAGCCAUGCCGCGUGAAUGAUGAAGGUCUUAGGAUUGUAAAAUUCUUUCAGCGGGGACGAUAAAUGACGGUACCCGCAGAAGAAGCCCCCGGGCUAAACUUCGUGCCAGCAGCCGCGGUAAU
rnacentral:rRNA from 1 species